rnacentral:rRNA from 1 species
AUUGAACGCUGGCGGCAUGCCUUAUACAUGCAAGUCGAACGGAAACGGGCCGUGGUUGGUCGUCGAGCGGCGGACGGGGGCGUAAUACAAACGAACGGGUACGCUCGCGGGGGAUAACGAGGCGAAAGCUUUACUAGUACCGCAUACGAUCUAAUAUAGUAAGCCGGGGACCUCAAGGCCUUGCGAGGGCUGUGCGGCCGGUGCCAGAUUAGUUAGUUGGUGGGUUAAGAGCUUACCAAGGCAACGAUUUGUAGCUGACCUGAGAGGAUGAUCGGCCACACUGGAACUGAGACACGGUCCAGACUCCUACGGGAGGCAGCAGUAGGGAAUCUUCCGCAAUGGGCGAAAGCCUGACGGAGCCACGCCGCGUGAGUGAUGAAGGCCUUCGGAUCGUAAACCGCUGUUAUAAGGGAAGAACAACUGUGUAAGAAACCAUGCACGUCUUGACGGUACCGAAUCAGAAAGCCACGGCUAACUACGUG